rnacentral:lncRNA from 1 species
GGAAGAUCUUUGAUGGGGAGGCUGGCUGGAGAGUGAAAGUGAGCAAGAGAUGGGGCACUGCAGACCCUCUGGUAGAGAUCGUUUGGUACAGGCCCAGCAUCUCCAGGAGGGCUGUUCCUCUGUCACUGUGGAGCAGGCCCUUCAGAAGAGGGCAUGUGCAGAGCCAGGAUGGGAUUCUGUUCCUAGUUAGGACCUCGGUGGAAGAUUGGUCAAGCAGGAAAGAACAAAGUUGGCCCAUCCUUGAAGGGGAGUGAAUGGUUGGACUUCAAGUAGCUCCAAAGGCCACUGGGGACAUAUUUGAAGCAGGUCACACACUGCAGAGGUUUCCUUAUCCCUCAGUGUCCGGGAUCCCCAAGGUCAGCCCAGGUUUGAUGAUUCACUGGGAGGACUUGCAGCAAUCAGCGUAGAGUUGAACUUGUGGUCAUCAUUUAUGACAAUAAAGGAAUACAAAGCACAGUCA